AUACAAACAUGAAAUACCCCCACACUUAUUCUUUUGCCAAACACCUUCAAAGUACUUCACAAACGUUUCUCAUAAGACAAUCUCGCAUUGCUCGCUUGGAAAGGGUAAGGAAAAAUGUUUCAGGUAUAAGGGUAGACAUAUUUGGUGAUAAGAAAUAAAAGGCUCAACAUACACGGCUCAAAUUGGCAAUCUAAUGAUAUCAUUUUUCUUUGGGAAACAUGGUUAUUUGGGCCAUGGUGGUAAACCUAAUGCCUCUAUCAUUUCCAAGUUCAUGCAAUCAAUGACAAA
rnacentral:lncRNA from 1 species